CAUCAAUCGCUCAGAUGAAAGCUGCCACGUCAUGACACAAACCCCUAGCAACCGUUUACUGCAAACUUCUACCAUAACGGAGAAAUAAGCAUUGAAAUGUCCUGUGUGGGCGUGUUUAGUACCCGUAUGUUUUUCCAGACUAAAUUGCUGGUUAGCUAUCAGAGAAGACCGAUACCUGUGCACUUUUCAAGAUCACAUCAUUAGCUAAUGACAGAGGAGCUUUAGUCACUCACUUGCAACAGCAAACAGCAUUGGUAAAAGAGCUAGAACAGAAGCACGGUGAUGAACACGUACCAGACGCUAUUCAAAGCGAAUCAGACCAACUAGCGACUGAAAAAUCUAACUUGGCGAUACAAUUAGAAGCCAGAAUCAACGAGAGUGAACAACUACGAAGACUUACUGAUGAACAGACUGCUGAGAUCAUUCAACUACAAGCAACAGCUAAACGUUUGUCAGAAGAGGCGGUUGAUCGUACAGAAAUGAUGAACUCGAUGCAAAAUGAUAAAGAGACAAUUAGCAG